UUUGCUCCAGAAGUACCUGCGCCAACCCGCAAGGGAGGUAGGGUCCCAAGGAGUGAACGGUAACUGGGGUGAAGUCGUAACAAGGUAGCCGUAGGUGAACCUGCAGAAGGAUCA
rnacentral:rRNA from 1 species